rnacentral:rRNA from 1 species
GGGCCCGCACAAGCGGUGGAGCAUGUGGUUUAAUUCGAUGCAACGCGAAGAACCUUACCUACACUUGACAUACAGAGAACUUACCAGAGAUGGUUUGGUGCCUUCGGGAACUCUGAUACAGGUGCUGCAUGGCUGUCGUCAGCUCGUGUUGUGAGAUGUUGGGUUAAGUCCCGCAACGAGCGCAACCCUCGUCCUAUGUUGCCAGCACGUAAUGGUGGGAACUCAUGGGAUACUGCCGGGGUCAACUCGGAGGAAGGUGGGGAUGACGUCAAAUCAUCAUGCCCCUUAUGUCUUGGGCUUCACGCAUGCUACAAUGGCCGGUACAGAGGGCUGCAAUACCGCAAGGUGGAGCGAAUCCCAAAAAGCCGGUCUCAGUUCGGAUUGAGGUCUGCAACUCGACCUCAUG